AGUUAAACAGUACGUGAAAUUGUUGAAAGGGAAACGAUUGAAGCCAGUCGUACCUUCGGGUAAUCAGCCUUUCGGGUGCGAUUCUGUGGAGUUUGAGGAGCUUUAACACCUUCAUGCUUUGCAUAUUCGUGCUCUUGGGUGUACUUGCCCGUGUGGUUGGUUAACAUCAAUUUCGGGCACCAUAAAAUGGCUGGAGGAAUGUAGCUUCGAUCUUGUAUUGAAGUGUUAUAGCCUUCGGUAGAUGUGGUGAUCGAGAUUGAGGAUUGCAACGGAUACCUUUCGGGGCUACCUGUCUGAUCUCUGAUCGUUGCUUUGGUGCUGAAAGCGUGCUUAUAGUUAUCAAAGUCGAUGGUUAAUAGGUUAGAAUGGGUUAAAUUCGUUAAGGAUGUUGACGUAAUGGCUUUAAA
rnacentral:misc_RNA from 1 species